CAUGACGGGCGCGGGCCGGUGAGAGUAGCUUCGGGCUGAGAAUACACCAGUUUACGUUGGUGAGGUAUCAACACCACAUCCAUAACACUCCAACGAUGCAAUUGACGACGGACAUGAACGUUUCUAAUGUGAUCGAGCAGAUGUCGUUCAUGGAUUCAUCUCACUUGAAAAAACUGCUCCUGUCGCAGCCAGAUCUACUGACCGUGAAAUAUGGAGGAAAAUCGGCUCUGCACUGUGCAAUUCUCUCAGGGAAUUUGGCUGCAGUGCAAGGUGUCCUAGGAAAUGCUGGAUAUUCAGAUGAAGCUGAUCCUGCAGGUCAGACACCACUAUUUGCAGCUUGUUUGAGUGGUCAGUUGUGGACCAUUGGCCAGCUGAUUGCAUCUGGGGCUGAUGUUGAGUGCAGAGAUGCUCAUGGUGCCAGCUGUGUCCAUGCAGCUGCCCAGAAUGGCCAUCUCACGGUGCUGCAGUACCUGGAGACAGUGGUGGGGGCGCCGCUAUCAGCGGUGGACGCGGACGGCCGCACGCCGCUGAUGAUGGCCGCCGGCGCUGGGCACGCCGCCACUGUCCAGUACCUGCUGGAGAGGGCCAGGCCGUCCCUGCUGGCGGCCGACCGGCGGGG
rnacentral:lncRNA from 1 species